rnacentral:rRNA from 1 species
UACGUAGGGCGCAAGCGUUGUCCGGAAUUAUUGGGCGUAAAGAGCUCGUAGGUGGUCUGUCGCGUCUGCCGUGAAAACCCGAGGCUUAACCUCGGGCUGGCGGUGGAUACGGGCAGACUAGAGGUAGGUAGGGGAGAAUGGAAUUCCCGGUGUAGCGGUGAAAUGCGCAGAUAUCGGGAGGAACACCGGUGGCGAAGGCGGUUCUCUGGGCCUUACCUGACGCUGAGGAGCGAAAGCAUGGGGAGCGAACAGG